AGCCUGGGUGACAGAGACAGAGCUUAUCUCUAAAAAAAGAAAAAAACAAAGUCACUCCAGUAGCUGCAUGCAAAGGGAAUGGGAGCUGAGCUGGUGAACCGGAGACUGUCAGACAUCCCAGGCGACAGGAUACCACAACAGUCCUGUGUUCUGCCAAACAAGCAACGACCAUGCUUCUCUAGCCAGGAAAAGGAAAGAAUGGCUUUUCCUCGUAGCACGGUGGUGUCGGGAGCAACUCCCUAUUCCCAAUAUUGGGUAAGAUAGGGUUGGAUUGGGCGCGAAAAGAGCUUAGCCCAGAGGGGAGACAUGGUGCAUUUGCCAGAAAUGGUGGGUGCCACUCUAAAGGUGGGUGAGGAGAAUCUUCUCUCCAACCGUCUUCGCCCCCUGGGCACAGUGCCAUCACCUGGGAUUUGCUGCCCCCCUGCACACCUGCCCCAGGAGCAGGAGGAGACUCAAUAGAUAGCAUCAGACUAGAGACUGGGGCUGGGAACAGGGCUGGGAGCCUAGAGCAGAAGCCAGGUCCAGAGAGGGUUAAGGGGAGAGGACAGUCCCCAAGGGAACCAGAAGGAGCCCCUGGAGGGCAGGAGGCAAGUGACCAUCACCAAGGAACCCGAGGAGGAGGCUCAGGAGCAGAGGCUUCGAGAGGCUGCAGGACUGGCUGUCAGCACCGUGU